rnacentral:tRNA from 5 species
GGGGGUGUAGCUCAGCUGGUUAGAGCGCAUGCCUGUCACGCAUGAGGCCGCGGGUUCAAGUCCCGUCACUCCCGCCA